rnacentral:rRNA from 1 species
UUUAAGCAUAUCACUAAGCGGAGCAGAAGAAACUAACCAGGAUUUCCCUAGUAACGGCGAGCGAACCGGAAAGAGCCCAGCUUGAAAAUCGCGUGGUUCCGCCCCGCGAAUUGUAGUCUGGAGAAGCGUCCUCUGCAACGGACCGGACCCAAGUUCCCUGGAACGGGACGUCGGAGAGGGUGAGAGCCCCGUCGAGUUCGGACCCUGUUGCUCCACGAGGCGCUGUCUGCGAGUCGGGCUGUUUGGGAAUGCAGCCCUAAGCGGGUGGUAAAUUCCAUCCAAGGCUAAAUAUUGGCAAGAGACCGAUAGCGAACAAGUACCGCGAGGGAAAGAUGAAAAGGACUUUGAAAAGAGAGUUAAAAAGUGCUUGAAAUUGCUGGGAGGGAAGCGAAUGGAAGCUGCGGGUGCGCCUCGGUUGGAUGCGGAACGGCGAAAGCUGGUCCGCCGCUCAACGCGGGGCGCUGGUCAGCGUGGGCCACCGUGGCGGGACAAGAGUCGGCUGUAGUUGCUGGCCUAUGCCGUUGCGGUGGCCGAGGGACGAAGCGCGCGCCACUAGGCGGGCCUUAGGGCACCUGCGCGCUCGGGACGCUGGCGUAUUGAGCUCUCCAUCCGACCCGUCUUGAAACACGGACCAAGGAGUCUAACAUGUAUGCGAGCCGGUGGGCGGCAAACCCAUUGAGGCGCAAGGAACCUGACAGGUGGGAUCCCUUCGGGGAGCACCAUCGACCGACCGUGAUCUUCUGUGAAAGGUUUGAGUGUGAGCAUACCUGCUGGGACCCGAAAGAUGGUGAACUAUGCCUGAGCAGGGCGAAGCCAGAGGAAACUCUGGUGGAGGCUCGUAGCGAUACUGACGUGCAAAUCGUUCGUCAGACUUGGGUAUAGGGGCGAAAGACUAAUCGAACCAUCUAGUAGCUGGUUCCCUCCGAAGUUUCCCUCAGGAUAGCUGGAGCUCGUGAAGUUUUAUCAGGUAAAGCGAAUGAUUAGAGGCAUCGGGGGUGUAACACUCUCGACCUAUUCUCAAACUUUAAAUAGGUAAGCCGCCAGGGUUGCUUGGUUGAACCCUGGCACAGAAU